GGCCCCGGGUUAUACCCCUAAUAGAAUUGCUUUUUCUUUUUCUUUUAGUGCAUCAUCAUAGCAUAUGCAUCAUAUCAUCAACAAGAUUUUAUUAAAUAAAAGUUAUUUUUAAAUAAAAACUAUUUCGGUUUCCCUCGCAUAUGGUUUUAUAUUAAACCCUUCCUAGACCUUUUCCUAUUUAAGAAAACCCAAACUAAAUAUUUAUGAGUAAUUGAAAAGUUGUUUCAAUUUAACAAUAAAGUUCUUAAUAAUAUUUUCAGACUUUCCUUCCAUAUAUUUUUCUCUUUGCCUCCUAUCUUGGACACUUUCUUUAUCCUUUCCUCCAUAUCUUUAUCUCUUCCUUUUAUUUCUUGCUAAUUGGCAAAAUACUUGGAAAUGGCUGGGCACGCCCUUGUGGCCCAAAAAUUUCUCGCUGGCCUCUCCUCCCUGUAUCCUACCCUUUGUGCACCAAGCCCAUUUUGCUCCACGCUGAGCAGGCCACCAAUUUCAGCGUUGCAUUCUCCUUCUUCCUAUACGGCAGCAAAUCCAUACACUGGUACGUCGCUGUCUUCUUGAUGGGACGGUCGUCCUUCGCUCGCUCUCCGUAUAAAAUCCUCGCAGCAGCCCCUGCAGAACCCUAGCUCAUCCACUCCUUCCUCCCCGCCGCCGCUCCGUUUCUUUUGUCCAUCUCUCUGUGAGCAACUGAGAGGGUUUUUCGCCGCCGUUUCCAUCCACCGCGCCGUCGCCAUGGACUGCUCCGAGCCCAGCUGAGAACGGGGAAAGAACCUCCGCGACCUCCUCUUCUUCCUGGACGUGGAGCUGGACCUGCUCGAGCUCUACUUCCUCUUCUACGUCCGCGCCGCCGUCUUCUUCCUGGAGUCCGUCGAAGUCGCCACGUCUCCGUUCGUCCUCGAGCCGUUUCGUUUCUUCCGGCAGCCUCCCGCAUUUGCUUCUUCCCGGAUAGGAUCGCGAAGUGGUGUUGUGAGAUACGGCAAGUCCUCCGGAUGUCCCUCGGCAAGCUUUAACAGGCAAGCAUUUCCCUUAUACUCCUGCCCCUGCCGGAGUCGCUUACCUAUUUUAUUUUGCCUUCUCCCUUAUGCUAUCCUUGAGUUGCGUUCUUGUCACGUGUCCUUUCCACUUGUUACCUCAAGCAGCCCAUAUUGCCACCACCACCUCCUACGGCUAUUGUUUGGUUAUCGAGUCUGCCCUUGCGAGUCGUAGUGCAUGCUAGUGCUGUUUUAUCUCGUUACCGUUAUUGUUAUCUUAUUGGGUUAUAUGAUGGUAAGAAUCAUGGUUACUUUAGUUGUUGGCAUUUGUUUAGCGGAGGCAUCGGUGGGUCAGCU